ACCUUUAGCAACGAGUGUUUUCUUUCAAGUGGUGGUGCUCGGUAGUAAAAGGAGGACAUUUUUUCCUUGUAUGAAGAACGGCGAUGGCCGGAAAUGCUAUACACAGUGCCAUUAUUAAACGAAUGUGAGGAAUUAAACGUAGUGUGGAAAGCAAGCGUUAGUAGUUUGGUGUUUGCUUCAAGGAUUAUAUUCUUCUGACUGAUAGAGUAUAAUCCAGAUAGAGGGAUUGAAUAAAAUAUAGACACGACAAACAUUACGUGUUCGCCACACACUAUUACGCAGUGAGUACAAACAUUGAUGUAUAUCUAUGUCUUUCAAACUAUGAUGAUGACGAUAGUCCCUUUUUUUCAACCACGUCGAACCUUUAUCAAUGUACU